rnacentral:rRNA from 1 species
AUUGAACGCUGGCGGCAGGCCUAACACAUGCAAGUCGAGCGGAUGAAGGGAGCUUGCUCCUGGAUUCAGCGGUGGACGGGUGAGUAAUGCCUAGGAAUCUGCCUGGUAGUGGGGGAUAACGUCCGGAAACGGGCGCUAAUACCGCAUACGUCCUGAGGGCGACAGUGGGGGAUCUUCGGACCUCACGCUAUCAGAUUAGCAAAGGUCGGAUUCGCUAGUUGGUGGGGUAAAGGCAUAACAAGGCUACGAUCCGUAACUGGUCUGAGAGGAUGAUCAGACAGACUGGAAGUGAGAAAGGGCCGAGACACCGAGGGGAGGAAGCGGUGGGGAAUAUUAGAGGAUGGAGGAGUGGCUGAUCUAGGCAUGUCGGGUGAAGGAAGAAGGACUUAUGAUUGUAAAGCAAUGUAAGUUGGGAGGAAGGGAAGUAAGUUAAUACCGUACGGUAUUGACAGUACCAGCAGAAUAAGCACCGGCUAACUCCGUG